CAUCCUGUUCCUUUAGCUUCAGGCGGCUAAUCUAGCUAGUUAGAUAAAAACAACACAGAUGAUUUGUUUAUAUAACCGUUAUCAUCUUUACGAAACCGAAUGCUUAUUACGAACUACUCCGAAUUCUAAAUACAAAACAAUUAUUACCGGUGAUGGAGUGGGGACUGAGGCUGCUAGACUUUUAAGAUGCACCCAGGGGAGGUUGCGUACCCCAAAAUCAGCCACAUGACAAAUAUUACUGUGGACAUCCCUCCCAACAAUGUUGAUGGUCUAUGGGGCAUCCAAUACAUUGCAACUCUAAAGUUUGGCAGGGGCCUUGGCCCAGAGUCAAUACUAUAAUUCUAACCCUGGAUGUGCCAGUUUAUCAUAAAGUUUAGGCCAGGGUUUUCCCAUGAGUUGCACUAUUGAACAUAUAUGCUAGAGUAGCCUACAAGCUUUUACAUUGAAAUAUAUUUUUCCAGGGCUAUUAAAGUUGGGGGUGGCAGCUAACCUAGUGGUGAGAACGUUGGGCCAGUGACCGAAAGGUUGCUGGAUUGAAUCCAUGAGCUGACAAGGUAAAUAUCUGUCACUCUGCCCCUGAACAAGGCAGUUAACCCACUGUUCCCCGGUAGGCUGUCAUUGUAAAUAAGAAUUUGUUCGUAACUGACUUGCCUAGUUAAAUAAAGGUUAAGUUGAAAGUGAAUGUUUUUAAACCUGACAUUUAGCCAAAAGUCACAUGAUUAAUUAGGAAAGGAAAAUCAGGCUUUGUCCUUAUGGUAGACUGAAGGUUUCGCAGUCAAUGGGCACAAUGGUCUAAGACAAUGCAUCUCAGUGCAAGAGGGGUCACUGCAGUACCUGGUUCGAAUCCAGGCUGCAUUGAAUCCAUGCUGCUCUCAAUCACCGACUGUGAUUGGGAGUCCUAUAGGGUGGCGCACAAUUGGCAGUCUUUGUAAAUAAGAAUUUGUUCUUAACUGACUUGCCUGGUUAAAUAAAUCAAUGGCAUUUUAGCAAUGCGAGUUGACUGCAGCAAGAUGAUGACAGCACAUGAGAUGAUGACAGCACUGUAUGUGAAUCAUUAUUACAGAUGACUAUCUAGAGUGACAAUCCAAGAGGAAUAACAUUGUUGUGGAUGGCGUUCCAGUCUCCACUUGAGACCUUGAUGGAGAAAGUGAGAAAAAUCACCAAAAAGCUACAGAUGGACCAUAAGAAGAUUGCAAGUUCAUCUGCCUCAUCUAAAUAUGUGCUCAAUGCUUGAUGGUGUUACGAUGUUAACAGAUAAUCAUUUUUCUGGUUGCUCUGAAGGGGAAGCUGUCCUCUCAAGGGGAAGCUUCUAACUGUGGCUAAUGCCUGUAAUAUGACUCAGGCUAAUUACUCAACCAACUAGAGUGCAUACCAAUAGUGUUGGAUCUGUGACAUCCACUUGUAUUGGUCAUAUCUUCAAUAAUGCUGCAGGGCUUUGCUCCAAAGCAAUAUCAGUUCCCAUUGGCUGUAGUGACCAUAACAUUGUGGCAAUAACAAGGAAAGCCAAAGGUUGUGCCUAAAGUAAUUUAUAAAAGAUCACACAAAGUGUUUUCUCAGGACAAUUUUGUUGAAGAUGUAAAAAAAGUGUAUGUUGGUCUGAUGUGUAUGAAGAAGUGAAUCCAGAUGCAGCACUGGAAGUUAUUCAUGCAAAUUGUUGACAAGCAUGCACCUGUUAAGAAAUUAAAUGUGAGAACUGUUGGA